rnacentral:rRNA from 1 species
UACGUAGGGUGCGAGCGUUAAUCGGAAUUACUGGGCGUAAAGCGUGCGUAGGCGGUUCGCUGGGUCCGAUGUGAAAGCCCCGGGCUUAACCUGGGAAUGGCAUUGGAAACUGGCGGGCUUGAGUGUGGCAGAGGGGGGUGGAAUUCCGCGUGUAGCAGUGAAAUGCGUAGAUAUCUGGAGGAAUACCGGUGGCGAAGGCGGCAUCCUGGACCGAGAUUGACGCUGAUGAGCGAAAGCUAGGGGAGCAAACGGG